rnacentral:rRNA from 1 species
UGGGGAAUAUUGCACAAUGGACCAAAGUCUGAUGCAGCAACGCCGCGUGGAGGAUGACACAUUUCGGUGCGGAAACUCCUUUUAUAGGUCAAGAUAAUGACCGUAGCCUAUGAAUAAGCGCCGGCUAACUCCGUGCCAGCAGCCGCGGUAAUACUGAGGGCGCAAGCGUUACUCGGAAUCACUGGGCGUAAAGAGCCUGUAUGCCGAUUAAUAAUCCUUAAGUGAAAUCUAUUAUCUUAACUAUUGAACUGCUUUUGAGACUGGUGAUCUACAGUGUGGGAGAGGUAGAUGGAAUUUCUGGUGUACGGGUAAUAUCCGUAUGUAUCACAAGGUAUACCUAUUGCGAAUGCGAUCUACUGCAACAUAACUGACGCUGAGACGCCAAAGCGUGGGGAGCAAACA